AUUAUCUCCUGAGAACAGUCCCUCUAAGGAAUCCACGGGAGCCGAGGCCGGUUAGACAGGCAGAAGUACGUUAAUGUACUGGAAUGAGUUUACGUCUGGCCCUGAGAGAUUUCGUCUUUGAAAUGGCAGGGUGGCUACAUCUUUCCUGGAUUCCAAUACUUACUGAGGGCCCCCAUACCAGGCAUUACACUAGGCGCCAAAGAAAAGGGAACAAAGGGACAGACACGUAAGCGGAACAGUAAUGAUGCAGGUCCUUCCUCUCCUGUCCACAAUGACAAGCACUCUGCAAGGUGAUGUUUACUUGAUAUCCCAUCAACUCCGGACCACGCAACUGAACCUAAGGCCAAUGAGCUUUGCGUUUAACACCCAAGUGCGAAGAGUUUCUUUCACUUUCUCUCCACUCUUAUGCCCGCUCACAUACACAUCUCAGUUUAAAGCACCACAGAAGCUACUUACUUUGUUAUUUGUUCCUGCUUUGCAGAACUUCCUAAGCCCGAGUAAACAUCAGAGACAACCAGGCAAUAUGUUGGAUAACCUUCCUCAAGGACGUUGCUUUUUUUUUUUUUUUUUUUGUCGUCACUAUAAAACCAAUUGUUUGCAACA